ensembl:lncRNA
AAUAAAUGCAUUGCCCAAGUCACAUUUCUUAUGAGACUUCACCCUAUGAAAGACUUCCACUCUGCCUUUGUUGUAUACACUGCGUACUAAGCAAAGUGAUGGUCCAAGAGAUAGACACUCAAGGCAAAGGAUCUACAGAGGGGCUGACUAUUUUUCUUAUGAUCCACGCACACAGAAAAUGAAGAAGGAUGACACAGAAAUUUUCCCCAGUGUCAAAGGCUGUGAAGAACAGAAGAAAACUGAGGGAGAAAAGCCAAACUGGGAAGGGCAAGGAAGAAGAGGGUUAGAGUUCAAAAGUAAAAGUGUGCAUCAUACAAAAG